UGUAUUUUAAUAUAUAUAUAUAGAUUCUUAAUGCAUCAGAAGCACAUCAGAAUUGUAAAGUAUUGUGAGUACAGGGUUGAUCUCCAACCUGUGCGAUUGUGCUGGGGGUGCACAUGGGGCUCACUGUAGUGACGGAACUCACCAAAUCUGUAAAGGUAGCACCCAGAAGGCUGGAGUUAUUGUUUUGAUAUAUGUUUUGUGUGCUGAGAUGGGCACUCAUGUGUUUCAAUAAACUGCCUAAAAAGAAAACAAAAUGUCCCUCACGCUUGCCCUACAUAUAGCAGAAUGUUUAGCGGCUGAUUUAUUACAGUGAAUAAUGAAUUUUCAGUGAUUUGAUUAAAUGCCAGCAAUAACAGGAGAUAUCCAAUAUAUACAAGUUUAAGUUUUUCAAAUUUUAUCAAUGUUUUAUCAAAUGGACAGCUUUGGCAACUAAAGGCUGCUAAGUUUCUCUAGGAGUCAACAGUGAAGCCUUGAAGCAUUCAAGCAAAUUGUUAUUUUGUUAUUAUUAUUUUAUAGAGAUUCUACUGGGUUUUAUCAAAAUAACAGAACAAUGCCAUUUUCAUUUGCAACAUCUUUUCUUCAAGAUACAUUGCAGUCGUGAUUAAUCGAUGCCAGUGAUCGAGGAAAAACAAACCAUGCUUGAGUUGAAUUGAAAAUAUUUUUCCACAGCUGAGGUUUUUUUUUAAUGUGAUCGUGAAUGUUUGUUAAUAUGCCUCCCCAAGUGUGUGGACCUAGUAUAGCAGAAUUCAAGCUGUUAAACUGCCCCCAAACAGGAUAAAUGAGAAAACAUCUGACUAGUAUCUCUACGAGAUUAUGAGAUGACCAGAUAUUUUACACUUCCAGUCAAGCAGCUUAUUGCCUGUGUUGAUAAUUUUAAUUUACCAGAACCUUAUUAUAGAACAAGACCCCGAGACAAGGUUCUCCGCAUAACUGAUGAUUUAUUCAUUAAUCAAAGGCAGAGUCUUGUGGAAGCUCUCACCAACACAGAACAAUAACUGAAACAGCUUCAAGUGAGACCCUGAAAGUCUUAGCCUUUUAUAGAUUAUAGUAUGCCUUAUCUCAAAAGUAUAUAACACCCCCUUUUAUAACUUUCUGUGUACUCUGUGGUUGUAGCUGUGCAAACAAAGCAAAGUCCAUGUCUUAGCUAGUCAGCACUAUCAUUUCAGGCCCUUGUGAUUUUAUAAGAUGCAUAUUUGUAUACUUUAAUCUCAAUUCACCUGCCUUGGGUUGUUUUUAUAGGGGACACUGGGGGAUUUUAUGUGUCCCUUUAUACAGAAUUUACCCAUCAUAAGUGAGCGUCUCAAGACCUGAUUUGUUGGAUCACUCGGAGGUAGCGUUGCCACCUGUCUGUUUUUGGACAAGGCAGCUUCAUUUUUAAAGAGAAAUCCACCCAAUUGCAUCUGAGGGACACAAUAAACCACCCCCCAAAGUAAUAACUUGACUCCAACACAUCAUCGCACCCAUCACCAAUAUUUCUGACACCCCCACAGAAACAUUGGCCCGCCCCCCUGCAACUAGGAAAGGUGGUAACCCUUCUUAGAGAAAAUGCAUCGAAGUGUAGCUGCUGUAAUUCUAGGACAGCCAAUUACCCAGCACCAAAUCUACUGUCCCACUUUUAUGUUUAUGAUUGAUUUUUUUAUGGGCCCACACUUCAUAAAUUAAUCUGGAAUUCCAUUCAACAGCAUGACAAAUCUGUAUAAGUGGCCAGCUUUAGAAAUAGAGUUUGUUUUCUAGUUUUUCCCCAAAUGGAUCAAAAAAGUAUGCUUAGCAUCCUGCCACAAAGAAUUUUCCAUCGCUUCAGUCUGGGGCUUCUAAAUAUCAGUAGGACCUGUUUUUUGCACGCCACUCUAGUUGGGCGUUAAAUUCCCACAAGUGCAAAACUGCCAUUUAAUAUGAGAGAUCUAUAAAACUGCCAGCCCUUCCUUCUAAACAAAGGAGUCUGUGUGCCUGUUAUUGCCAAAGGCAUCACUUCUUAACUAUCAUAGGAAAGGAAGCUAAUUUGGUAACUACAACAACAAAAUAGUUUAUAAAUAUGAGCGUAUAUAUUAGUGUAUUAGGAGUGCUUGAAGCAUUCUAUGAGAGUGAGUUGAGCAAUAUGUUGCAUGUCUUUUACCCAUAUAAUCUAUAGUGCUAUGGUAUAUGUAUGAUGCUUUAUGCAGGUGUAAAAUACAAACAGAUUCUAGACACAGUGCAUAAUAAGAUGGCCCUAACAAGUGCACUGAAGAUAUUCGUAACAUUAUACAAUUUUCAGUGGAGUAAUAUUAUGGCUAGUUAAAAAUUGUAACCUCUCUUUAUCCUGGCUGUCUGCAUUUACCAAGGUGACAUGUUUGUAAACUCCAUAACUGGAAUAUUGACGAAGGGUAAGUGGACUUUACUCAGUUGUUAUUAUUUGCUGUAGGAUCUGGAAUCUCACAUUUUUCUGAACAGCCAGUCAAUCCAGAACCAGAAAACAAAGAAAAACAAUUUACAUUUAGUUCUGCAGUGUGAUCCAUGUGUAUAAGUAUAUAACUAAAAAUGCACUUCAGUCAGAUACCUUUGGGUCUAAAAUUCCCCACUGUCUCCCCAAUAAUAUUUCACUAAAAUACAUCUUUAAGGUUGAAGGAAAAUCAGCAAAGAAUUCUUAGAUUUUCUGUUAUAUUCUGAACAUGGGAAAUGUGUUGACAUGCUUGUAUAAUAAAUAAUAGAUUUCUUUAUGACAUGCUGUUACAAGUAUUGAAUCCAUUAUCUGGAAACCCAUUAUCCAGAAAUCUCUGAAUUACAGAAAGGACUUCUCCCCUAGAGGCCAUUUUCAUUUUUCAAGGUACGGUUUUAUAACUGUACGUUGUACUUGAUCCCAGUGAUGAUACAACAAAACCUUAGUGAAGACAAACAGUCCUAUUGAGUUCAAUUAAUGUUUAAUGAUUUUUUAAUGGGCUUAAGAUAUGGUGAUCCAAAUUAUGGAAAGACCCCUUAUCCAGAACACACUAGAGCAUUUUGUAAAGCAGGUCUUAUACCUAUAUAGUAAAAAAUAAUCAUCCUUAUGACCAAAGACUAUAGAGAGAUUGCAUUAUAAUAGAAUAUACUUCUUACUGGUUCUCAGGCUAAGAUGGUACCAGUGGAUGCUCUCUGACAUCUUGCAGUCCAAAUGAGGUCAAUAUAAAUGUGUUUGCCAUGAGAGUGAAAUUUGUGCCCUAUUCUUCUGAUGCAGCUGUGUUGUAGUGAUUGCUGCAGCCUGCAGUGGGAACCCUGGCGCUACCGCCUGGUGUGGAGGUGCACUACAGUGCUCAGUUCCGAAAAAAGAGGCUAGAGGGCGUACCUUAAAUAGAUGGGAUUUUCCACACAACAGACUGCUGGGAAAUUUCGUAUAAAUUGAUGUCUUGAUAACAGCUUGCUGAAUAAAAUUACUUUUUUAUUUAAUAA